AUAAAGAUGGCAGACUAGUGCAUUAGGUUUAAGCCCUAAAUAUGAAGAUUAUUUUUCUUCUCUUUAUA
rnacentral:tRNA from 1 species